UACGUAGAGUGCAAGCGUUGUCCGGAAUUAUUGGGCGUAAAGGGUACGCAGGCGGAUAGUAAAGUCAAGCGUGAAAGGUGUCGGCUUAACCGACAGACUGCGUUUGAAACUGAGUUAUCUUGAGUGUAACAGAGGACGAGUGGAAGUUCCUAGUGUAGUAGGUGAAAUACGUAGAUAUUAGGAAGAACACCAGUGGCGAAGGGCGACUCUCUGGGUUAACACUGACGCUGAGGUACGAAAGCUGGGGGAGCAAACGGGAUUAGAUACCCGGACGUA
rnacentral:rRNA from 1 species